rnacentral:rRNA from 1 species
AUUGAACGCUGGCGGCAGGCUUAACACAUGCAAGUCGAGCGGGGACUUCGGUCCUAGCGGCGAACGGGUGAGGAAGGCUUGGGAAUCUGCCCAGUAGCGGGGGAUAACGAUUCGAAAGGAACGCUAAUACCGCAUACGCCCUACGGGGGAAAGGGGGGGAGCUUCGGACCUCUAAAUAUGGGAUGAGCCCAAGGGGGAGUGGUUGGUUGGUGGGGUAAAGGCCUACCAAGGCGACGAUCCGUAGAUGGUCUGAGAGGAUGAUCAGCCACACUGGAACUGAGACACGGUCCAGACUCCUACGGGAGGCAGCAGUGGGGUAUAUUGGACAAUGGGCGAAAGCCUGAUCCAGCCAUGCCGCGUGUGUGAAGAAGGCCUUCGGGUUGUAAAGCACUUUAAGCGAGGAGGAAUGGCUCUUGGUUAAUAACCUUGAGCAGUGACGUUACUCGCAGAAUAAGCACCGGCUAACUCUGUGCCAGCAGCCGCCGUAACAC